ACAGCUCAGUCGGUAGAGCAUGAGGCUCUUAACCACAGGGUUGUGAGUUUGAGCCCCAUCUUGGGCA